rnacentral:rRNA from 1 species
UGCCAGACUCCUACGGGAGGCAGCAGUGGGGAAUAUUGCACAAUGGGGGAAACCCUGAUGCAGCGACGCCGCGUGAGUGAAGAAGUAAUUCGUUAUGUAAAGCUCUAUCAGCAGGGAAGAAAAUGACGGUACCUGAGUAAGAAGCCCCGGCUAACUACGUGCCAGCAGCCGCGGUAAUACGUAGGGGGCAAGCGUUAUCCGGAUUUACUGGGUGUAAAGGGAGCGUAGACGGCAGUGCAAGUCUGGAGUGAAAUCCGGGGGCUCAACCCCCGAACUGCAUUUGAAACUGUUGGUCUUGAGUAUCGGAGAGGCAGGCGGAAUUCCUAGUGUAGCGGUGAAAUGCGUAGAUAUUAGGAGGAACACCAGUGGCGAAGGCGGCCUGCUGGACGACAACUGACGGUGAGGCGCGAAAGCGUGGGGAGCAAACAGGAUUAGAUACCCGCGUAA